rnacentral:rRNA from 1 species
UGGGGAAUUUUGGACAAUGGGCGAAAGCCUGAUCCAGCAAUGCCGCGUGUGUGAAGAAGGCCUUCGGGUUGUAAAGCACUUUUGUCCGGAAAGAAAUCCUUGGCUCUAAUACAGUCGGGGGAUGACGGUACCGGAAGAAUAAGCACCGGCUAACUACGUGCCAGCAGCCGCGGUAAUACGUAGGGUGCAAGCGUUAAUCGGAAUUACUGGGCGUAAAGCGUGCGCAGGCGGUUUGCUAAGACCGAUGUGAAAUCCCCGGGCUCAACCUGGGAACUGCAUUGGUGACUGGCAGGCUAGAGUAUGGCAGAGGGGGGUAGAAUUCCACGUGUAGCAGUGAAAAUGCGUAGAGAUGUGGAGGAAUACCGAUGGCGAAGGCAGCCCCCUGGGCCAAAUACUGACGCUCAUGCACGAAAAGCGUGGGGAGCAAACAGGAUUAGAUACCCUGGUAGUCCACGCCCUAAAACGAUGUCAACUAGUUGUUGGGGAUUCAUUUCCUUAGUAACGUAGCUAAACGCGUGAAGUUGACCGCCUGGGGGAGUACGGUCGC